rnacentral:rRNA from 1 species
GGAUUAGAUACCCUGGUAGUCCACGCCGUAAACGAUGCGUACUAGAUCUGGAAGGCUCUGACGUCAUCCGGGUCCAAGCGAAAGCGUUAAGUACGCCGCCUGGGGACUACGGCCGCAAGGCUAAAACUCAAAGGAAUUGACGGGGGCUCACACAAGCGGUGGAGCAUGUGGCUUAAUUCGAAACAACGCGAAGAACCUUACCCAGGUUUGACAUGCUUGGAUGCGAUUCGGGGAUAACUCGGAAAGUUGCCUUCGGGUGAAACAAGCACAGGUGUUGCAUGGCUGUCGUCAGCUCGUGCUG